AAAUAAAAUGGGUAGCCUGGUUUGCUGUCCAACGAACAUGCUGAAUCUCCACCGAUCUCAAGCUGCCUAGUCUUUCUCUAGUAUCUUUGAUUAACUGCCCUGAGCGUGUCCAGCAGGAGUCCAGGGUCUUCAAAGCCGAGACAGUAUGCAACGAGUCUCCUUCGAAAAUGAUAUCCUGGAAACCUUAGAGAGCACAGAACUUUGCCGCUUGCCACGCUGCCAUAGCCUCCGCUACAUCCGGGUCAGUAAUUCCGGGCACUACAUUCGAAUAAGGCAUCCUUGGUGCUCUACCGCUCUGUGUGAAAAUUUCGCACAAAAAACCCAUAUCCCUCUUCUAACUUCAUUUUUCUCCUAACCUUUUUCUCUCUCAAACCUCUCGUCUUCAUCAUCUUCUCUUUUGCACCAAGCCCCUCUCCUCUUCUUCCUUUUUUUUUCUUUCCCUCCCCUGCAGCUACCCCCUUGCUGUGCCCCUCCCCUGCUCUGCCAUCGCAGAGAGAGAGAGAGAGGGACUGAGUGUUGGGUUUCGAAAUCAGUCUGAGGUGGACAUGGUCAGGGAUGCUGCGUUUCUUACGGUCAACACUCAACAGCAUUGACCAAAUCCGGACUCUUAAGGCCUCGAAGUUGAUUACUUAAAUAUUGGAGAUGGUCUUAGAAUACUGUUCUUCCCAAACCCAGAGAUCUCAUUGAUACUGUUCGAGAGCUGGUGGUUUCAUGGAAUCUUAAACUCAUCAUUGAACCUGGGAGAUCAUUGAUUGCAAAUACUUGUUGCUUCGUUAAUCAGGUAAUUGAGGUCAAAACUAAUGGAACAAAAAACUUUGUUGUGAUUGAUGGCAGCAUUGA